GUGUUCCCUUUGGCAGCACUUAUACUAAACUUGGAAAGAUACAGAGAAGAUUAGCAUGGCCCUUUAGCAACAACAAAAUGCAAAUUUGUGAAGUGUUCUAUAUUUUU